rnacentral:tRNA from 2 species
GCCCCCUUCGUCUAGCGGUUAGGACGCUGCCCUUUCAAGGCAGAGAUCAGGGGUUCGAAUCCCCUAGGGGGCGCCA